rnacentral:rRNA from 1 species
AUUGAACGCUGGCGGCCGGCCUAACACAUGCAAGUCGAGCGAGCGGCGGACGGGUGAGUAAUGUCUGGUCACCUGCCUGAUGGAGGGGGAUAACUACUGGAAACGGUAGCUCAUACCGCAUACCAUCAGAUGUGCCCAGAUGGGAUGAGCUAGUAGGUGGGGUAAUGGGUCACCUAGGCGACUAUCCCUAGCUGGUCUGAGAGGAUGACCAGCAACACGGGAAAGGAGACACGGUCCAGACUCCGACGGGAGGCAGCAGGGGGGAAUAUUGCACAAUGGGCGAAAGCCUGAUGCAGCCAUGCCGCGUGUGUGAAGAAGGCCUUCGGGUUGUAAAGCACUUGCAGCGGGGAGGCGUUACCCGCAGAAGAAGCACCGGCGAACUCCGUGCCAGCAGCCGCGGUAAUAC